rnacentral:rRNA from 1 species
GAUGAACGCUGGCGGUAUGCUUAACACAUGCAAGUCGAACGGACUCUUCGGAGUUAGUGGCGGACGGGUGAGUAACGCGUGAGAAUCUGGCUUUGGGUUCGGGACAACCACUGGAAACGGUGGCUAAUACCGGAUGUGCCGAGAGGUAAAAGAGAAAUUGCCUGAAGAUGAGCUCGCGUCUGAUUAGCUAGUUGGUGAGGUAAAGGCUCACCAAGGCAGCGAUCAGUAGCUGGUCUGAGAGGAUGACCAGCCACACUGGGACUGAGACACGGCCCAGACUCCUACGGGAGGCAGCAGUGGGGAAUUUUCCGCAAUGGGCGAAAGCCUGACGGGGCAGUACCGCGUGAGGGAAGAAGGCUCUUGGGGUGUAAACCUCUUUUCUUAGGGAAGAACAAAAUGGCGGUACCUAAGGAAUCAGCAUCGGCUAACUCCGUG